AGUUCUCAGAAAUCGGCCUUUCGGUCUUCAGAAAAAAUAAAACAUAGAAACUAUACCUCUGUCUUCAAGCAUUGCCACAAAUUUGGGAUUGUCAGCUGAAAACUCAAACAGAAAACCAGCAGUUGCAGCUUUCAAACAUUAGAAAGACUAGAACUUUCAUUUCACAAAUAGUCAAUGUAAGCA